rnacentral:rRNA from 1 species
GGGGCCAAGUGUAAGGUUAACUGGGGAUUAGUCUGUCAGCCGACUGACAUCGGAGGGCUUGGCGUCCUGGACUUGGCUAAGUUUGCGAGAGCCCUACGGCUUAGAUGGCUGUGGUUCGAGUGGACUGAACAUUCCAAGACGUGGAUUGGAAUGGACAACCCUUGUGAUGAGCUUGACCGUGAUCUAUUCUACGCUUCGACGCGCAUCACCAUUGGCAACGGGGCAUGUGCACCAUUUUGGGACUCCCCAUGGGUUAAUGGCGAGAAACCUUCCGUCAUAGCACCUCUCAUCUUCGAGGCUUCCACGAGGAAGAAGUGGAAGGUACAGGAGGCCAUGCACGCGGAUGCGUGGCUGUCCAAAAUCAAGCUCCCCAACAACUAG